rnacentral:rRNA from 1 species
AUUGAACGCUGGCGGCAUGCCUUACACAUGCAAGUCGAACGGCAGCACGGGUGCUUGCACCUGGUGGCGAGUGGCGAACGGGUGAGUAAUACAUCGGAACAUGUCCUGUAGUGGGGGAUAGCCCGGCGAAAGCCGGAUUAAUACCGCAUACGAUCUACGGAUGAAAGCGGGGGACCCUCGGGCCUCGCGCUAUAGGGUUGGCCGAUGGCUGAUUAGCUAGUUGGUGGGGUAAAGGCCUACCAAGGCGACGAUCAGUAGCUGGUCUGAGAGGACGACCAGCCACACUGGGACUGAGACACGGCCCAGACUCCUACGGGAGGCAGCAGUGGGGAAUUUUGGACAAAGGGCGAAAGCCUGAUCCAGCAAUGCCGCGUGUGUGAAGAAGGCCUUCGGGUUGUAAAGCACUUUUGUCCGGAAAGAAAUCCUUGGCCCUAAUACGGUCGGGGGAUGACGGUACCGGAAGAAUAAGCACCGGCUAACUACGUG